rnacentral:rRNA from 1 species
UACGGAGGGUCCGAGCGUUAAUCGGAAUUACUGGGCGUAAAGCGCGCGUAGGUGGAUUGGUCAGUCAGAUGUGAAAGCCCAGGGCUCAACCUUGGAACUGCAUCUGAUACUGCUAGUCUAGAAUACAGUAGAGGGUAGUGGAAUUUCCUGUGUAGCGGUGAAAUGCGUAGAUAUAGGAAGGAACACCAGUGGCGAAGGCG